CGAAAGAAAAGAGAAAACCAGUCUCCUUCUUCACACAAGAAACCCUUCGGUUUCACCCAAGCCGCGCGAUCCCUCUCAUUUCUUCAAGCCGAUCUCUCUCAUUUCAUAAACCUAAGCUUCCCACCGAAAUUCUUCAAGGAAAUCAACCUUCUUUGAGAUUUCGGAUUUUCCUUUCUCUUCUUGUUGCCGUGUACUUUGUGGCUUCAAAAGAGACCCAACCAGGUAAUGAUGAAAAGGCUGGGGAGUAAGGCAUUACUGCAGAGGGAGAGGCAGACGCUUAGGACCUUUCCUAACGAGGACAGUUAUGUUACGAAUGAUGGGUUAUGUUACGUAUAGAUAUUUUAUUUUGGGAUGGACUCUGAGAGUCUCUUAAGAAUGAAUGUUCAAAUAAAAUGUCCAUUAGGUGUUCCCUUUUAUUAA